AAGUAGCACACCCCUUGUUAGUGGCUAAAGACCAGAAAAUGAAGUAUUUCUCACACCUUGGAAUUUGGAGAAUCAGCCAGGCCUUGCCAAAGUUAUGGACAGUCCUCACGCGGCUUUAGAGGAAAUACCGAUCUAUUUCAAGCAACAGGUUUGCCUCACACUGUGUGUCAGCAGCACAAAAAGACCUGUUUGCAGCCAGUGUUGGUGACUUACCGGCAUUUACUUGCUGCUCUCCAAACACAAGGUAUUUUGGAGGAAUGACUGUGCUGCCCCCUGGCAUCCAAUAGCAGACCAGCACUGAAAUGCUCAAGCUGGAAGUAGAGGUGGCAGCUGCUGGUCCCAGGAGCCACCAUCUGGGAGACAGCCCUGAAUGCCAUCAGUUUGCUCGUUUUGGACUCCAGUAGAGUGUAUCAAAUCAGUCUUCCUGAUCCCAAGUACUGAGAGGUGCAUUCUCAGGUUUUGCUUGUGGGUCUGGCUGCUGUGAUUCCUUCCAGGCAAAUACACCUUGAAUUCUCCUUCUCAACCCGUAACACUUCAACUUUGAGAUCUUAUCUGAGGAAUUGCAUAGAAAUAAAAAAUUGUAUUGUAUAGUACAAAAAUAUAAACACACACAUAAAAUAUGUACUAUUUACGUAUAUCAGCAUCUGUUGCCUA